rnacentral:rRNA from 1 species
AGUGAACGCUGGCGGCAGGCCUAACACAUGCAAGUCGAGCGGCAGCGGGUCCUUCGGGAUGCCGGCGAGCGGCGGACGGGUGAGGAAUGCAUCGGAAUCUGCCCUGUCGUGGGGGAUAACCUAGGGAAACUUAGGCUAAUACCGCAUACGACCCACGGGUGAAAGCGGGGGAUCGCAAGACCUCGCGCGAUAGGAUGAGCCGAUGUCCGAUUAGCUAGUUGGCGGGGUAAAGGCCCACCAAGGCGACGAUCGGUAGCUGGUCUGAGAGGAUGAUCAGCCACACUGGGACUGAGACACGGCCCAGACUCCUACGGGAGGCAGCAGUGGGGAAUAUUGGACAAUGGGCGCAAGCCUGAUCCUGCCAUGCCGCGUGGGUGAAGAAGGCCUUCGGGUUGUAAAGCCCUUUUGUCCGGGAAGAAAUCGUCUGGGCUAAUACCCCGGGCGGAUGACGGUACCGGAAGAAUAAGCACCGGCUAACUUCGUG